rnacentral:rRNA from 1 species
UUAAAUGAAUUGACGGGGAGCACCACAACGGGUGGAGCUUGCGGUUUAAUUGGAUUCAACGCCGGAAAUCUUACCGGGACCGACAGCGAUAUGAAGGCCAGGCUGAAGACUUUGCCGGAUUAGCUGAGAGGUGGUGCAUGGCCGUCGUCAGUUCGUACUGUGAAGCAUCCUGUUAAGUCAGGCAACGAGCGAGACCCACGCCCACAGUUGCCAGCGUACUCUCUGGAGUGACGGGUACACUGUGGGGACCGCCGCUGCUAAAGCGGAGGAAGGAAUGGGCAACGGUAGGUCAGUAUGCCCCGAAUAUCCCGGGCUACACGCGAGCUACAAUGGUUGGUACAAUGGGUAUCUACCCCGAAAGGGGACGGGAAUCUCCUAAAACCAAUCUUAGUUCGGAUUGAGGGCUGCAACUCGCCCUCAUGAAGCUGGAAUCCGUAGUAAUCGCGUUUCAACAGAACGCGGUGAAUACGUCCCUGCUCCUU